AUUGAACGCUGGCGGCAUGCUUUACACAUGCAAGUCGAACGGUAACAGGCCGCAAGGUGCUGACGAGUGGCGAACGGGUGAGUAAUGCAUCGGAACGUGCCCAGUCGUGGGGGAUAACGCAGCGAAAGCUGCGCUAAUACCGCAUACGAUCUAUGGAUGAAAGCGGGGGACCGUAAGGCCUCGCGCGAUUGGAGCGGCCGAUGUCAGAUUAGGUAGUUGGUGGGGUAAAGGCUCACCAAGCCAACGAUCUGUAGCUGGUCUGAGAGGACGACCAGCCACACUGGGACUGAGACACGGCCCAGACUCCUACGGGAGGCAGCAGUGGGGAAUUUUGGACAAUGGGCGCAAGCCUGAUCCAGCAAUGCCGCGUGCAGGAAGAAGGCCUUCGGGUUGUAAACUGCUUUUGUACGGAACGAAAAGGCUCUGGUUAAUACCUGGGGCUCAUGACGGUACCGUAAGAAUAAGCACCGGCUAACUAGGUGCCAGCCGCCGCAGUAAGAC
rnacentral:rRNA from 1 species